rnacentral:misc_RNA from 1 species
GAUGAAGAACGUAGCGAAAUGCGAUAAGUAAUGUGAAUUGCAGAAUUCCGUGAAUCAUCGAAUUUUUGAACGCAUAUUGCGCCCUCUGGUAUUCCGGAGGGCAUGCCUGUCCGAGCGUCAUUUAACCCCUCAAGCCUAGCUUGGUAUUGGGUGCUUGUCCCGCCUCUCGCGCGGCGACUCACCUCAAAGUCAUUGGCAGCCCGCAUCUCGCCGGCCGUGAGCGCAGCACAGACGCGCUCUUGGCAACGACGGAUCGGCUCUCCAAAAGCUUAUUUCAACCACUGACCUCGGAUCAGGUAGGGAUACCCGCUGAACUUAAGCAUAUCAAUAAGCGGAGGA